AUGCAUUUCUUUAACUUGUCCAGGGUCAGAAGAAGAAGAAGAAUCUGAAU
rnacentral:sRNA from 1 species